CGGGCGACAUCGAAGGUAGUUUAAAACUGCUGGCAAAGGCUAAACGUAAAUUCCGUAAGAUUGUAAUACAUGUCGGCGUAAAUGACUCCCGACGCCGCCAGUCGGAAGUCACUAAAUUGAACGUGGAAUCGGUGUGUGAAUAUGCCAAGACCAUGUCGGGCUACGUAGUUUUCUCUGGUCCCCUGCCCGAUCAGACAACUGAUGAGAUGUGUAGCCGUAUCUCAUCAUUCAACCGCUGGCUGUCGAGGUGGUGUCCACAAAACGGCGUGAGCUUCAUUGAUAAUUGGAAGUCAUUUUGGGGCAAGCCUGGUCUGAUUAGUCGGGACGGCAUUCAUCCCACCCGAGAUGGAGCGGCCCGUUUAUCCAGAAAUCUGGCCGAUUUUAUUAAUCCGAACCACUGACAAUUCAAAGCAGAGAUCAGGGAGCAGGGCCGCAGUCUUACACGCCCCCCUGCGCCUCUUUUAGAGCAGCCUCCCAGCCACUACCACUUAUACACAGAGACAAGGGAGCAGAGCCGCAGUGUAAAACGCCCUUCUGUACUCCCUUCAGAGCAGCUUCCAAGCUACAAUCAGCUUGACUUAGAAAUCAGGGAGCAGAGCCACAGUGUAAAACGUCCCUCUGUACUCCCUUCAGAGCAGCUUCCAAGCUUCUCUCAGCUUGACAUAGAAAUCAGGGAGCAGAGCCACAGUGUAAAACGUCCCUCUGUACUCCCUUCAGAGCAGCUUCCAAGCUACUCUCAGCUUGACAUAGAAAUCAGGGAGCAUAGCCACAGCUCUACACGUUCCUCUGUACUUUUGUUAGAGCAGCCUCCUAGCUACUGUCACUUUAAUAUAGAGACUGUGUCUGUCCCUCGUACUCGGCUCUCAAAUUCUAACCGAUCAAUUAAAAAAGGAGUAAAUAACAAGAACCUUACUAGAAUUAAGACUGUUAACAUAGCUGAACCAAGUACUAGUAAGAUAAAAUGUGGCCUACUGAAUAUAAGGUCUCUAAAUUCAAAAUCUGUGUUAAUAAAUGAACUAAUCUCUGAUCAUCGCAUUGAUUUACUCUCCCUAACCGAAACAUGGCUGCGUAAGGAUGAAUAUGUAAGUUUAAAUGAAUCCACUCCUCCUAGCCACCUAAACUUUCACAUUCCUCGAGACUCUGGCCGAGGUGGUGGAGUUGCAGCUAUCUACAAUUCCAGUCUUAGAAUUAACCCAAGACCAAAACUAGAUUAUAACUCUUUUGAAAGUCUCGUUCUCAGUCUCCCGCACCCAGCCUCAAAGUCCAUGAGACCACUGGUAUUUGCUAUAGUUUACCGCCCUCCGAGCCCAUACUCUGAGUUUUUGUCAGAGUUCUCAGAGUUCCUAUCCGAAUUAGUCCUUCUCGCAGAUAAAGUCAUCGUCGUCGGUGACUUUAAUAUUCACAUAGAUGUGGAAAAUGAUAGCCUAAGCAUUUCUUUUCGGUCCUUGCUAGAUUCAAUUGGGUUUACACAGUGUGUACAUAGACCUACGCACUGCUUUAACCACACUCUCGAUCUCGUCCUGGCUUAUGGCCUCGAAACCGAUGCCCUGUUAGUCAGCUCAUUAAAUCCUCUAUUAUCUG
rnacentral:lncRNA from 1 species